UACGUAGGGAGCAAGCGUUGUCCGGAAUCAUUGGGCGUAAAGCGCGUGUAGGCGGUUACAUAAGUCUGUUGUGAAAGUCGGAGGCUCAACCUUCGAAAGCCGGUGGAUACUGUCGGGCUAGAGUACGGAAGAGGCAAGUGGAAUUCCUGGUGUAGCGGUGGAAUGCGCAGAUAUCAGGAGGAACACCUAUAGCGAAGGCAGCUUGCUGGGACGUUACUGACGCUAAGGCGCGAAAGCGUGGGGAGCGAACAGG
rnacentral:rRNA from 1 species